ACGGCACCCAUAAGUAAUAUAAAGCAGAGGAAAGCAGGGGAAAGCACACAGAUUCGUAAUACAACAUGGAACACGGAACACGGAAUCAUGACAAGAAUAAAACCCCCACCAAGUAAUUCCCUACAGUAGCGACCCGAACUGGCCCUAAUCCUCUGCCGUAAUUCGCGUCCUCCAGACCUUCCUAUCUAGGGUCAUGUCCUCGGUGAGCUGUAACUGUUCCAUGUCCCGCC
rnacentral:lncRNA from 1 species